UACAGAGGUCCCAAGCGUUGUUCGGAUUCACUGGGCGUAAAGGGUGCGCAGGUGGCGCUUCAAGUUUGAUGUGAAAGCUUCGGGCUCAACCCGGAAAUGGCAUUGAAUACUGGAGUGCUGGAGGUUUGGAGGGGGGACUGGAAUUCUCGGUGUAGCAGUGAAAUGCGUAGAUAUCGAGAGGAACACCCGUGGCGAAGGCGGCCAGCUGGGCCGUCCCUGACGCUGAGGCGCGAAGGCGUGGGGAGCGAACGGG
rnacentral:rRNA from 1 species